GAGCCAGCUUAGCCCAGCAGUUCCAUUGACCAACACAUUGGUUGGAUCCUCCGAUCGCUUCCGGUGGUUUGAGACCUGCGGGUGCUGCCUGGCUUUUUA